GAACAGGCGAGAGGCGCCCGGAGCCAGCGGGAGACGCCGGAUCCAGGAUGUGGGCGGCUGUGCUCUGCCAUGUUGGUUGGUAAGGGCCUUCGGGGGGAGCAGCCUCUAGGGCCCCCGGACUGGCCUGCUCGUGGGUGUUGAGGGGGGGAGAAGAGCACCCAGGCUGGGGCCUGGAGGCUUCUGGCUGGGAGAAGUUUGCACGCAGGGAUAAGCAAAGCCGGCAUUUACAGAGCGCUUAGGACGAAUGAAGCCCUGUUCUAAGCGUUCCGAAAUGUAUUCCCUCGGGAGCAAGAGUCGCUGUUAUUUUUGUCUUACAGAGAAGAAAACGGAAACACAGAGAGCAAAAGCCAACAAAGGAUGCAGCUGAUAGAAGCGGGGGACAGGGUUUGAACCCGAGCAGUGUGGCUUGAGAAUCUGUGCUCUUAACCCGGGGCCCGUGUCCUUAGAGAUGGGCCUGGGGUGGCAUCGCCACCCUGCGGACACCCAGACCCUGUUCCUCUUUCCCCGUGAGGCCGAUUGUGAAGGAAGUCAUUAGCUUUGGCGAAUGUGGCUGGGUGGGCAUUCGGAGGCGUGUCUGCCUUGGGGAGACUUUUCCUUCUCCGCCAAGGCCAGCCCCAGGACGGUGACCGGAAUGGAAUGAGAAGUUGCAGGUGUUUCCGCCCCAGUGGCAGAUCAGGAAGCUGCCUCCACGGGAGCUCAGCUAAAAGAGAGUCGAAUUCUCUGGGUCCUCCCGGCCCUCCCUGCGGACGCCGGCUUCGGGUCCAGCGGACCGUGCGGCCGGCUGGAUUGCCAUGGCAACACGAAGUGGACCCAAGCCCCCGGAGGACGGAGAGCAAAGACACAGUGGUGGCUUCUGUCGGUCUUGGACCACAAAGCGCAUCCUUGGCCUCCGGUGAGCCCGGGGUGAAUAACCCAUCAGCGGGCCUGUGCUGUGACAGUGGCCACCGAAGCAGCCUUUGGUCCUUGCCUUUCUCGCGUUGGUGGCUUUGUGCUCUCUGAUUGAGCCGCGAGGACUCCAGCUCCCCGUCCCACUGAUCGUUUCCGUCCUCCAGUCUAGUGUUUGCAGGAAUUCACACACGUCCGUGAGGUGAAGCCAGAUGUCGGUGGUUACUCCUCUGGCCCCCCUGGCUGAGACGGGCCUCCAGGGCCUGCGAGGUGAUGGCGCUUCCGGUUUGAUGCAGACCGAGGACGGCACCUGCUGUGACUCCCCCCCCC
rnacentral:lncRNA from 1 species